UACAGAGGUCUCAAGCGUUGUUCGGAUUCAUUGGGCGUAAAGGGUGCGUAGGCGGCGCGGUAAGUCGGGUGUGAAAUCUCGGAGCUUAACUCCGAAACUGCAUUCGGAUACUGCCGUGCUUGAGGACUGGAGAGGAGACUGGAAUUACGGUGUAGCGGUGAAAUGCGUAGAUAUCGUAAGGAAGACCAGUGGCGAAGGCGGGUCUCUGGACAGUUC
rnacentral:rRNA from 1 species